AUAAAGAUAAACUAUAUAUUAAGUUAUAGGACUCAUACUCCUAUUAAGAGUGAAAACUCUCUUUAGA